GUGCUUGCUUUGGCAGCACAUGUUCUGAGAAGAUUAGCAUGGCCCCUGCACAAGGAUGACUCACAAUUUCGUGAAGCAUUCCACAAAUUA
ensembl:snRNA U6 U6 spliceosomal RNA